ACGGAGUACUUCGGUACUUAGUGGCGGACGGGUGAGUAACGCGUGAGAAUCUGCCUUCAGGUUCGGGACAACCACUGGAAACGGUGGCUAAUACCGAAUGUGCAGUAAUGUGAAAUAUUUAUAGCCUGGAGAUGAGCUCGCGUCUGAUUAGCUAGUAGGUGUGGUAAUAGCGCACCUAGGCGACGAUCAGUAGCUGGUCUGAGAGGAUGAUCAGCCACACUGGGACUGAGACACGGCCCAGACUCCUACGGGAGGCAGCAGUGGGGAAUUUUCCGCAAUGGGCGAAAGCCUGACGGAGCAAUACCGCGUGAGGGAGGAAGGCUCUUGGGUUGUAAACCUCUUUUCUCAGGGAAGAAAAAAAUGACGGUACCUGAGGAAUAAGCAUCGGCUAACUCCGUGCCAGCAGCCGCGGUAAUACGGAGGAUGCAAGCGUUAUCCGGAAUGAUUGGGCGUAAAGCGUCCGCAGGUGGCUAUGUAAGUCUGCUGUUAAAGAGUCUGGCUCAACCAGAUAAAGGCAGUGGAAACUACAUGGCUAGAGUGCGUUCGGGGCAGAGGGAAUUCCUGGUGUAGCGGUGAAAUGCGUAGAGAUCAGGAAGAACACCGGUGGCGAAAGCGCUCUGCUAGGCCGCAACUGACACUGAGGGACGAAAGCUAGGGGAGCGAAUGGGAUUAGAUAC
rnacentral:rRNA from 1 species